AUAUUCCACGAUCAACCUUACCACCCUUUGCCAUCAGCCUAUAUACCGCCGUCGCCAGCUUACCUUGUGAAAGCCAAAAAGUAAGCGAAAUAGCUCCUACAGCUAGAAAGUCAGGUCCAGGUGUAGCCAAUAAGGUGGGUGCAAUGGGCUACAUUUUCUAAAAUAGAAAUAUUCACGGACAGACCCUUGAAACAGGGACUAAUAAGUCGGAUUUAGCAGUAAUCUAGGAAUAGAAAACCUACAUUAAGCCG
rnacentral:rRNA from 1 species